rnacentral:rRNA from 1 species
GACGAACGCUGGCGGCGUGCUUAACACAUGCAAGUCGAACGGAAAGGCCCUGCUUUUGUGGGGUGCUCGAGUGGCGAACGGGUGAGUAACACGUGAGUAACCUGCCCUUGACUUUGGGAUAACUUCAGGAAACUGGGGCUAAUACCGGAUUGGAGCUCCUGCUGCAUGGUGGGGGUUGGAAAGUUUCGGCGGUUGGGGAUGGACUCGCGGCUUAUCAGCUUGUUGGUGGGGUAGUGGCUUACCAAGGCUUUGACGGGUAGCCGGCCUGAGAGGGUGACCGGCCACAUUGGGCCUGGGAUACGGCCCAGACUCCUACGGGAGGCAGCAGUGGGGAAUAUUGCACAAUGGGCGGAAGCCUGAUGCAGCAACGCCGCGUGCGGGAUGACGGCCUUCGGGUUGUAAACCGCUUUCGCCUGUGACGAAGCGUGAGUGACGGUAAUGGGUAAAGAAGCACCGGCUAACUACGUG